rnacentral:misc_RNA from 1 species
AUAACUUUAAAAUAUUAUAUAAUAAGUACAUAAAAAUUAUUUUGAACUAUAUUAGUAGUAAAGUACUAAAUAAAUCAGAACUUAAUUAUGUAAUUUUUGUUGUGGUCGUACAACUUAAAAUAUGAAUUCAUCUCUCUCUUUCUCUUUAUAUUUUAACCUUUUAAAAGAUUAAACUCUAAGUUCAAUACUAAUCAUUCUAACUAUUAUUAUUAUUAUUAUUUUCUCUCUUUACAGUCUCUCACUUAUUUUUUUCUAUUAAGACUAACUAAUCUAUUCAUAUAUUAUUAUUACUCUCUAUAAUAUCCAUUUCCUAGUAUUUAUUUUUAUAAUAUCUCUCUCUUUAA